UAACUUUAGGUGUGAUGCACGAAAAAUUUUGAAUUUUUAAGUAAUAAUUAAUUUUAUUAAAGUUAA